GUUUGAAUGAUGACUUAAUUCUUUGUCGGAUACCCCUUCACUCUAAAAUGAGUGAUAAAAUAAAACUGACAAAC